rnacentral:rRNA from 1 species
GAUGAACGCUGGCGGCAUGCCUUACACAUGCAAGUCGAACGGUAACAGGUCUUCGGAUGCUGACGAGUGGCGAACGGGUGAGUAAUACAUCGGAACGUGCCCGAUCGUGGGGGAUAACGGAGCGAAAGCUUUGCUAAUACCGCAUACGAUCUACGGAUGAAAGCAGGGGACCGCAAGGCCUUGCGCGGACGGAGCGGCCGAUGGCAGAUUAGGUAGGUGGUGGGAUAAAAGCUUACCAAGCCGACGAUCUGUAGCUGGUCCGAGAGGCAGACCAGCCACACUGGGACUGAGGCACGGCCCAGACUCCUACGGGAGGCAGCAGUGCGGAAUUUUGGACAAUGAGCGAAAGCCUGAACCAGCCAUGCCGCGUGCAGGAUGAAGGCCUUCGGGUUGUAAACUGAUUUUGUACGGAACGAAAAGACUCUUUCUAAUAAAGAGGGUCCAUGACGGUACCGUAAGAAUAAGCACCGGCUAACUACGUGCCAGCAGCCGCAGUAA